UCUCGUCCGUGACUAAGUGCUUCUGUCCGGGACCGAGCCGGCCGAGCUGGAACAGUGACCUUUGGUUCCGCGACGGGACUAAUUGGAGAACGCUCGGACGUUCUUUCGAUGAUAAUUCACGCGCGAAUCGAGGAACGGAUGUAUCCUUAACGUCCCGCGCGGGCUGAGUUAUGCGGAGUUUAAUGGCGAAUAUUGAAUUAACAUUGAUAUCGUCCCACUACAUCAAGUCAAGUGCCAACCGGACUCAUCUCCCGAGUGCAAAGGGCCAACAUUCUACGCGGCCCGCAACAAACGCAACAAAUACUUGACACUCCGCCGACUGGGAGCCUAUUAACAGGUUUUUCGAUGGAGGCGCUGAACGACCAAUAGCUUGUAAAUCGGCUUUUCGAUUUCCAACGCUCGUCCACCGGCGGCCCAUUAAAACGACACUGUUCCGGAUCGGGGGAGAUCGAUGUUAAUUAGAAAAGAGGGAAACGUUCAGAAUCAACGUUGAACGUGCACUCCCAAAAUCCAAUUCGCGAAACUGGAACCCUGUCAACCGUUCAAACGAAUGUUGAUCUAUCC